rnacentral:sRNA from 1 species
GUUUCAAUUCCUCAUAGGCAGGCUAUCGGCAGUUUUUGUGAUUCUUCUGACAGUUCCCGGGCUUUAG